UGGUUCUGGCAUCGAUGAAGAACGCAGCGAAAUGCGAUAAGUAAUGCGAAUUGCAGAAUUUCAGUGAGUCAUCGAAUCUUUGAACGCACAUUGCGCCCUUUGGUAUUCCGAAGGGCAUGCCUGUUCGAGCGUCAUUAACACCUCUCAAGCCUGGCUUGAUGUUGGAUUCUGCCCGGAUUCCGGUCCUGGGCUGGUCCCAAAAGUAAUGACGGCGUCCAUGGGGACCCUCAGUGCAACGAGCUUUCACCGAAGCACGCAUUGAGUUGCAAGGUCACCUGGCACGGUCGAUACCUUUUUUUUCUAAGGUUGACCUCGGAUCAGGUAGGAAUACCCGCUGA
rnacentral:misc_RNA from 1 species